GUCUUACUGUAAGGACCCCAGAUACCUUCUGGAUAUAUGAGGCAGCAAUGUACCACUGAUGUUUACAAUAGUCAGGCCAAGGCUGAUGGUUAAGGAAACAUUUAAUGUAUCUAAUUGCUUUGGGCAGCCUCUCAAUAGUAGUAGUAGUAAGAAGAAGAAGAAGAAGAAGAAGAAGAAGAAGAAGAAGAAGAAGAAGAAGAAGAAGAAGAAGAAGAAGAAGAAUAUCAUACAAUCAUAAGGUUAGGAGAUACCCCUAAGGAUCAUCCAGUUCACCUUCCUUCUACCAUGCAAGACGACACAAACCAAGCACUCCUGACAGAUGGCCAUCCAAGAUCUGUACAAUAAUAAUACAAAUCGAAUCAUAGAAUCAGACAGUUAGGAGAGACCCCUAAAAGACCAUCCAGUCCAAUCCAACUCUGCCAUUGGACGAUACAAUCCAAGCACUCUCAACAGAUGGCCAGCCAGCCUCUUAAUAAUAAUAAUAAUAAUAAUAAUAAUAAUAAUAAUAAUAAUAAUAAUAAUAAUAAUCAUACAAUCCUAAGGUUAGCAGAUACCCCUAAGGAUCAUCCAGUUCAACUUCCUUAUAUCAUGCAGGAGGACACAAUCCAACCACUCCUGACAGAUAGCCAUCCAAUAUCUGCACAAUAAUAAUACACAUUGAAUCAUAGAAUCAGACAGUUAGGAGAGACCCCUAAGGGCCAUCCAGUCCAACCCAACUCUGCCAUUGGACGACACAAUCCAAGCACUCCUGACAGAUGGCCAUCCAGUCUCUACAUAAUAAUGAUGGUGAAGAUGAUGAUGAUGAUGAUGAUGAUGAUGAUGAUGAUGAUAAUAAUAAUAGAAGCAUACCCCUAAGGACCAUCCAGCCCAACCCUUUCUACUAUGCAGCAAGACAUAAUCCAAGCAUUCACAACACAUGGACAACGUAUAAAUACUAUGCAAUACUACACAGGGACAUAAACCCCCUCUACCCUCACCACUUUCACAAUACACAAACAACCAAAUGCAUACUAAACAUAAAGACAACCAUACAACAGACAUUCAAUACCACCACUACCUCAACAAGUUCUCACCAACACCACCAGACAACGCCAAAGCAACGCGUGGCCGGGCACAGCUAGCAUAAUAAUAAUAAUACAGUAGAGUCUCACUUAUCCAACGUUCUGGAUUAUCCAACGCAUUUUUAUAGUCAAUGUUUUCAAUGCACUGUGAUAUUUUGGUGCUAAAUUCAUAAAUACAGUAAUUACUAGCUUGCUCUCCCAGGCUGUGGCGCAGGCGGGAGAGCAAGCCAGUGCAAUUAACUGCAAUGAAUCACUCUGACCAGGAGGUCAUGAGUUCAAGGCCUGCUCGGAGCCUAUGUUUGUCUUUGUUCUAUGUUAAAAGGCAUUGAAUGUUUGCCUAUAUGUGUAAUGUGAUCCGCCCUGAGUCCACUUCGGGGUGAGAAGGGCGGAAUAUAAAUGCUGUAAAUAAAUAAAUAAUACUACAUAGCAUUAAUGUGUAAUGAACUACUUUUUCUGACAAAUUUGUUGUAUAACAUGUUUUGGUGCUUAAUUUCUAAAAUCAUAACCUAUUUUGAUGUUUAAUAGGCUUUUUCUUAAUCUCUCCUUAUUAUCCAACAUAUUUGCUUAUCCAACUUUCUACCGGCCCAUUUAUGUUGGAUAAGUGAGACUCUACUGUAAUAAUAAUAAUAAUAAUAAUAAUUAUUAUUAUUAUUAUUAUUACAGUAGAUAAUAAAAUCAGCUGAUGACGCAAAAUGCAGACUCUGCAAGAAAACCGAUGAAACCAUUGAUCAUAUCCUCAGCUGCUGUAAGAAAAUCGCACAGACAGACUACAAACAGAGGCACAACUAUGUGGCCCAAAUUGGAACUUAUGCCUCAAGUACCACCUCCCAGUAGUAAAGAACUGGUGAGAUCACAAACCUGCAAAAGUAUUGGAAAAUGAGCACGCAAAGAUACUGUGGGACUUCCGAAUCCAGUCUGACAAAGCUCUGGAACACAACACACCAGACAUCACAGUUGUGGAAAAGAAAAAGAUUUGGAUAAUUGAUGUUGCCAUCCCAGGUGACAGUCGCAUUGACGAAAAACAACAAGAAAAACUCAGCCGCUAUCAGGACCUCAAGAUUGAACUUCAAAGACUCUGGUAGAAACCAGUGCAGGUGGUCCCGGUGGUGAUGGGCACAUUGGGUGCCGUGCCAAAAGAUCUCAGCCGGCAUUUGGAAACAAUAGACAUUGACAAAAUUACGAUCUGUCAACUGCAAAAGGCCAAUCUACUGGGAUCUGCGCACAUCAUCCGAAAAUACAUCACACAGUCCUAGACGCUUGGGAAGUGUUCGACUUGUGAUUUUGUGAUACGGAAUCCAGCAUAUCUAUCUUGUUUGUUGUGUCAUACAAUGUUGUUGUGUCAAUAAUAAUAAUAAUAAUAACAAUAACUUUAUUUUUAUAACCUGCCUCCAUCUUCCCAAAGGGAGUCAGGGUGGCUUACAAGGAGACCAAGCCCAGCAUAAACAGAGAAUUCAAAGUUACAAAUUUAAAAA
ensembl:lncRNA